AUUGAACGCUGGCGGCAUGCCUUACACAUGCAAGUCGAACGGCAGCACGGGAGCAAUCCUGGUGGCGAGUGGCGAACGGGUGAGUAAUAUAUCGGAACGUGCCCAGUCGUAGGGGAUAACGUAGCGAAAGCUACGCUAAUACCGCAUACGAUCUAUGGAUGAAAGCGGGGGAUCGCAAGACCUCGCGCGAUUGGAGCGGCCGAUAUCAGAUUAGGUAGUUGGUGAGGUAAAGGCUCACCAAGCCGACGAUCUGUAGCUGGUCUGAGAGGACGACCAGCCACACUGGGACUGAGACACGGCCCAGACUCCUACGGGAGGCAGCAGUGGGGAAUUUUGGACAAUGGGCGCAAGCCUGAUCCAGCAAUGCCGCGUGCAGGAUGAAGGCCUGGUU
rnacentral:rRNA from 1 species